rnacentral:rRNA from 1 species
UACGUAGGGGGCUAGCGUUGCUCGGAAUCACUGGGCGUAAAGGGUGCGUAGGCGGUGCGGUAAGUCACCUGUGAAAUCUCCUGGCUCAACUGGGAGCUUGCAGGCGAAACUGCCGUGCUGGAGUGUGGGAGAGGUGCGUGGAAUUCCCGGUGUAGCGGUGAAAUGCGUAGAUAUCGGGAGGAGCACCUGUGGCGAAAGCGGCGCACUGGACCACAACUGACGCUGAGGCGCGAAAGCUAGGGGAGCAAACAGG